AGGAAGAGAAGCAGCAGCUGAGGAGACAGGUUUGAGCUGGCUAGAGAAGACGAGAGAGCAGGAAGGGGUCAAGCCACCCACCAGAGAAGCAGCAGAGAGCCUCUGACCAGCAUCCUCUAUAAAGGUUAAGGAAGCUCAUUCACGCCGCCGUCUGGACACACUCUGAGCCGCCUCCUCACGAUGCUGUAUGUGCACAAUGGUUGUUAGGCAAUCCACGUAUCAGGAGAAGGGACGUUCUUCCAUAAGGCUGUUCCCGGUGACCUAAUGAAUCCUUUGU
ensembl:lncRNA